rnacentral:lncRNA from 1 species
AGAACAUAUUGGCCUAAAUAUGGAUAUGGCCAGCAACGAGCUGAUCAUCUCCGUGCAGCCAGAUGAGGCAAUUUUCCUUAAGAUCAACAACAAGGUGCCCGGAUUGGGCACGCAGCUGGACUCCUCCGAACUCAACCUCCUAUACAGAGAAAGGUAAGAUAACUACCAUCCUCUUUCCCUCAAUUCUCUUCUGCACAAUCGUUGCAUGUUGACUUACUUUAUAGACAUGGAUUCAUGUGCUCUUGUUGAAUGAUAUGUUCAGGUAUGACUGCGAAUCGAUCCCAGACUCCUACGAGCGCCUCAUCCUGGACGUGAUUAAGGGUGACAACCAUCUCUUCAUCCGCAGUGACGAGCUGCAAGCCUCCUGGGACCUUCUCAUGCCCCUCCUGAAAGAUAUCGAGGAGCAGAAAGUAGCCCCGGAGAUGUAUACGUUCGGUGGUCGGGGUCCAGUUGGGUCAUAUUACCUCGGAGCUAAGC